GGCUCUCUCCGGUCCCCAGUGCAUGGGCUGGAGUGUGGCCCCUGGCAGAGCCCUGGAGGCCGGCUCUGCUUCCUGCCCCCUUCCAGCCUGGAGCAGCCCGAGGGCGCAGCAUUCCUGGGGCAGGCCUGAGCCCUGUGGUGGGCUGAGUUGAGUCCCCAGAAAGCGAUCUAUGAAAGAUAAAAUGUGGUGUGAGGACACGGCCCAGCCCCACCGUCGUCUUCCAGCCCCACCAUCGUCUUCCAGCCCCACCGUCGUCUUCCAGUCCCACCGUCGUCUUCUAGCCCCACCAUCGUCGUCUUGGACUCUCUGGGUGGCACCACGCUGUGGGUGCUGCUCUCCUCUGUGUCCCAAACGAGUUUGUGCCUCACUUUGUCGGGUUUUGGCUGUGACUUGGAGCCUCACCAAGCUCCCUUUUCCUCUGUCUCCCAUUCUCCUCUCCAGGCCAGGGUGGCUUCCCCAGCCCUCCUCCCCGGGUCCUGCCUGUGCCGAGCCUUCCUCCCAGGAGGGAGGUGAUACUGACUUGAGAUCUUAUGGGUGUUUUGUUUGUGGCUGGGCCUGGCCGACCCUCUCUCCACGGCCUUAGAUCACACUCUGGAUGGAUAGGACAGUCGUCCUCAAUACUGAGCCUCUUUGGAGCAUACCCACUGAUGGUGGUUCACAAGCUACCCACGCCCACAGGCUGACCCAGAUCUCCGUGAAAUUAAAAAAUACUGUGAAAGGAAAAAGAGCCAAUGUCAUGUGGAUAAUGAAGUGUCAGCCACUGAAAAAUCUCAAAAUAA
rnacentral:lncRNA from 1 species